rnacentral:rRNA from 1 species
GGUGGCCCAAGCGGAGCGCCCCCACCCGAUCCCAUCCCGAACUCGGCCGUGAAACGCUCCAGCGCCAAUGGUACUUCGUCUCAAGACGCGGGAGAGUAGGUCGCCGCCA